CAAUAGCGUAUAUUAAAGUUGUUGCAGUUAAAAAGCUCGUAGUUGGAUUUCGGGAUGGCCCGGCCGGUCUGCCGCAAGGUAUGUUACUGGCCGAGCUGUUCUUCUUCGCAAAGACUGUGUGUGCUCUUAACUGAGUGUGCUCAGGAUCUGUGACGUUUACUUUGAAAAAAUUAGAGUGUUCAAAGCAAGCCAGCGCUUGAAUACAUAAGCAUGGAAUAAUGGAAUAGGACUUUGGUUCUAUUUUGUUGGUUUCUGGAACCUUAGUAAUGAUUAAGAGAGACAGUUGGGGGCAUUCGUAUUCCGUUGUCAGAGGUGAAAUUCUUGGAUUUACGAAAGACGAACUACUGCGAAAGCAUUUGCCAAGAAUGUUUUCAUUAA
rnacentral:rRNA from 1 species